UUUUUUUUUUUUUUGCUUUUUAGGGCUGCACUUGCAGCAUAUGAAGGUUCCCAGGCUAGAGGUCCAAUCGGAGCUGCAGCUGCCAGCCUACACCUCAGCCAUGCCAGAUCCAAGCUAUGUCUGCGACCUACACCACAGCUCACAGCAACGCUGGACCCUGAACCCAUGGGGCGAGGCCAGUGAUCAAACCCGCAUCCUCGUGGAUACUAGUUGGGUUUAUAAGCAGCUGAGCCACAACAGGAACUCCCCAUCGUACAAAUAUUGAGGCUUCUGAUCCAUGAACAUGAAUUCUAUUUAUUUACAUCUUCUUUAACUCCCUUUAGUGACAAUUGGCAGUUUUCAGGGUAUACAUUUUUGUUAUACGUUCCUAAGAGUCUGAUUUUUUGAAACUAUUAUAAAUUAUUUUAUUAAUUUUAUUCUGUUCUGUUUAUUGCUCUUGUAGAGGAAUACAAUUUAUUUUUGUGUGCUAAUCUCAAAUCCUGCACCCGUGACAAGCUUAUUAGUUCUCCUGGUUUUCAGUAGGUCAUAAGGAUUUUCUGUAUACGAGACCGUGGCAUCUGCAAAUAGAGAAAUGUUUACUUCGCCGCCCCAGCAGGAACGCCUGUCAUUUCAUUUUCUUGCUUAAUGGCCAUGGGCUUGUUUUAAAGGCAUGUACUUGCUCGAUCCUCUCAGCUUCAGCACACAGCAGCGGCACGAGGCUAAGGUGCGCAUCUGACAUGUGGGAAACCGAGGGACAGGAGGCACAGCGGCAGGCACGCAGGUGCCACGGCGCUCAAAGCCCGCAGCCUCCGUGGCAGCAGCCCCGAUGAAGGCCCGCCUUUGGAGGUGAGCAGCCUCUCCCCAGAGGAAGAAAGGACCACCCAUGAGACGCCCCGCAGCCGUGAACUCGUGACGGGGGUCUGCUGCAAACAAGCCAGGCAGCAGUGUUAGUGCCGCUUUCUGACUGCUUCCUACUGCAGAGUUGCAUAAACCCGUGUGGCCUCAGGAUGCUAGAAGGUCCAUAAGCUCAGCAAAGGGCACAACCUGGUGAGGUGCAGCUGUGGGCAGAGGUCAUGUAAUUCCCGCUCUUGCCAGAGUGACUCCAAAUGCCAAACGGAAAUAAAGAGGCACAAACACAAACCAGGAAGCUUCUCACAAAGUCUUACAAGAUCUUGGCUACAGUUUCUCUACCGCAAAGCCUGAGCCUACUGUGCUCUGCAUUUUGUCUCGCGGGUGCAGCCUCACUGACAACAGUAACAUCUUGGACCAAGGAUAUAUAAGGCUCCAAAGAGCCCUCCGGCCCAGGAGGUCCCACAAGGCGGGGACGGUGCCGCCUGCCCCCAGGACAGAAUUUACCAGGCAGAGCAGAUCAGGAGCCAAGAGUUGGAACCAAGAUGGAAAGGAGCAUAGAGCCUGGCCCAGGAAGGCCGUGGCCCGGCUUUGGGGUCGCCUUUGAGCUCUCGGCAGCCAACCCUGCAGUUCCGAGGUUGCUGGAGCCGUUCCACGCAUGAAGCCUGAGUUAAAGGUCAGAGCCCACGAUAAGCCUCGCUCGGAAGCUGAGAUCGCUGUGACCCAAGCCUGAACAGACGUGUUCGGGGCCUGACCCAGGCGGAAGGAAAGGCAGAGCCAACCAGCAGGCAGGGAGGAACGGCGAGGUCCAGAGGUUCCCUCCGCAGCCGGGCGGCCUCCUGCCGGGUCAGGAGAGUAGAGGACGGUCCCAGAGCUCGAGGGCGGCCCCGGCUCCCACGCACACUUGCACCAGGCUGGGCUCCAGGCUGUGGAACACGCACCCCAAGGCCUAGGAGACAGGCGACAACCUUCCCCGCCCACAUCAGUCGCCCCCAGGUCCUGUCAUCCUGCCGGAGGCAACCCUGAGAUCUGCCCUCCAACCUGCUGCCGCGGCCAAGCCACGCUCACCUCUCCUUUGGCCCCUGGCUGGAAGGUCCGUGUGCCUUCCUCCAAAUGCCACGCUGAGGUGUCACCCUCCCCCGCGAGACCUUUGCAGGACCUCUCAGGGCUCGAUGGCAAAGACAAAACCCCUCCAGGUGGCCUCAGUGGAGCACAGCUGGGCUCCAGCAAGCGCUCCCCGCCAGCCUCUGCUCCAGCCGCAAGCCUGCCGGUGAGUCCUAUGGGCUCCACGCACCUGCCCAGCACACACCUGGCAGGAGGUUGCUCCCUCCGCCCAGAAGUUUCUUCCCUCCCUCCCUCUGCGUCUGCCCAGUGAGCACCCGCCUUUAACCUCAGGGAAGUCCUGCUGGCCCCCUGACCAGGCCCAGCCCCUCCUGGAGGCUCAUGGCAUGUGGGUCUUCCCACAACUUUCACGGUUGCAGCCCGACCUCUGUGUGAGUUUAAAAAUUAAUAACUAGGAGUUCCCACCAUGGCGCAGUGCUUAACGAAUCCGACUAGGAACCAUGAGGUUGCGGGUUCAAUUCCUGCCCUUGCUCAGUGGGUUAACGAUCCGGCGUUGUCGUGACCUGUGGUGUAGGUCGCAGAUGCGGCUCGGAUCCCGCAUUGCUGUGGCUCUGGUGUAGGCCGGUGGCUACAGCUCCGAUUAGACCCCUAGCCUGGGAACCUCCAUAUGCCGCGGGAGCGGCCCAAGAAAUCGCAAAGAGACAAAAAUAAAUAAAUAAAUAAAUGGUCCUGACAAAAAAAAAAAAAAUUAUAACUACCUCUGCAGCAGACCGCAAACUGCCUAGAGGCAAGAACUGUAUGUAUCUUAAAAUCUUUUUAUUAUGGAAAGUUUCAAACACACCAAAGUAGAGAAACUGGCAUAACGCACCUCACCCAGUUCACCAGUUAGAAACUCCAGGCCGAGCUGACCUCCUCUGUACUCCCGCCUCUCCCUUUACCUCGGUUACUUUGAAGGAAUGCCCCUCGCUGUCUAGUAUUUGCUCACAAGUGCUUUCUUUUCAUUCCUUUUAGGGCUGCACCUGCAGCAUAUGAAGUUCCCAGGUGAGGGGUUGAAUCGGAGCUGCAGCUGCCAGCCUACACCACAGCCACAGCCAACGCCAGAUCCGGCCACGUCUGCGACCUGUGCCAUAACUUGCAGCAACACCAGAUCCUUAACUCACCGAGCAGGGCCAGAGAUCAAAUUCACAUCCUCGCAGACACUGUGCCGGGUUCUUAACCUGCUGAGCCACAAUGCAGACAGCCACGAUUGCUUUCUCAGCGUCUAGAACAGCGGCUGGCACAUAACUGAGACUCGCUAAGUUUUGUUGGAUAAAUGAAUGGAAAAGUGAAUGACACAAUCUGUGUUGUUUUAAGGGUCAGAGGACUGGACACGCCGACCUACCCCACCGCCUGCGAAAAGACCUUUCCUCGGUGCAGGGUGGCCGCAGGCCCAGAGCCAGGGACUAUCAGCAGAGACGAUGCCCAGGAUGAAGUCAAACCACAAAACGCCUAAUCUGGGUCAGAACCCUUAUUUCCUCCGAGAUGGGUGUUCUGUUCACAACGAAAGGAAAACCACCCCAGGCCCUCACCGUGGAAGAGCACACCACGCACCUGAGAUCACUCACACAGGACAACCCACUCCAAGGGGUAUCUUAGCAAAAUGACUCGACUUUAAAGCAAAGAAAAACUCCUCUGAGCAUUUAGGCCAAAACAAACAAAUAAAUAAAUAAAGGCAUGUGACUUUAAAAAGAAAUAAAGUGCUCACUAGACUUUUGACAUAACGCCUCAUGCCAGAGUGAGGCGUGUACUUCAGAAAUCCAAAGGGAGAACAUGUGAGCCAAGAACUUACGACCCAGCAAAACUGGCCCUCGGCUCUAACAUGGAAGAACUCAGGGAGUAACAUUCCUAUGAGUCCUUCCUACGGAACUUAUGAAGGAAUAAGCAUCAGACACCCGAUGACUGAAGACCACGUGAGGUCACAUGAGGAGCAGAAACAUACAGUUGCUUCUAGAACUGACAACAGAUGAGGUUGGAAGGUCGACCAUUUAGUUUGCAAUGGGUGCUGGCCAUGGAGACGUGCCACUUACGGCUCCGUGGAGGCCAGCCGUGGGAGCACGGGGGAGGUGUCGCUGCGGCCAGGGCACCCACCAGAAGACACAUGCCGAGGUGGGCCUGCCAGACACACCAUCCCCCAAAGGCAUGACUGCCUGGUGAGCAGGAGGUCCGCCCCACAAGGACAGUCAGGGACGGCUCUCCUGCAGGCCCGAUGUUACAGAGGCGCCCACAGAGCCGGCUCCGAGACAGCCUGGAAAUGAUGGGCCCCCGGGAAUGGAGGCCGCGGGGUGCAGCAUCACCCCCAGGUGCCAGGAGGCCUUAAGCACCUUAAGCUUAGCAAGGUCGGAAGGGCGGCCAAAGGAGCCUGGGCAGCACGGAGCUGCGAAAACGGUUCACAGAACAUGAGGCCCCUGGGCGCCAAACAGCCCUCGGGGGGCUGCUUAACAGCCGCAACUAGAGUGAGGCCAAGACGGAGGAGCAGAGGGUGGUCAUCUCAGCAGAAAGGCACGCUGCCUGGCUCAGGCCCCAGCUCUGAGCCAGCCCGGAGACCCAGAACCCACCGACCAAGAGAAGGCUGGUCCCGGGACCCAGUGACACACGUAGGGCAUGAGGGUUCCUCCAGGAAUCCAGAAGGAGCCCAGGCCACUUACCCAGGUGACUGUACACUGCAGAAAGGCAACGCCCAGGCAUUGCAAGGACUGCUGGGCACAGGGCCUGAGCCGACACUCCCACCAAGACCCAAAGGGCCAGCGUGCCUCACCGCGACCCUCGUUAGAGUGGGGGCUUCCAGGGUCAGGCAAGAGAGUCCCGGCGAAAGCCCAGGUGCAGUCCCCUGGGUCAACACCACCACCCAAGUACAGCACUCGACUCCCCUACCCCCCGAGUGGAUGACUGGAGUUGACAGGCUGACAAUCAGAGUGCGCCCACACUGAGCCCUCGGCCCGCCACCAGCACAGCCAUAAUGGAGAAAAUCAGCAGAGGCCUCUGAAACUGCGCCCACCCUCUCCUGCCAAUGCAUUAAGUUAGAAAGAAAACAGUGGCUCGACUUAUGGGGAGGAAGCUGGCAGAUUCAUGCCACCGCGAACGGCCUAGAGGAUGCAGGGAUGGUGGCCCCGUUAUAUGUCCAUUUAAUUCACCAGUCUGGGUCCUGGACAACCAGACGGACCCUGGAGAGUGACUGCAGAGGCCACCACAGUUCAUCCAAGUAGGAGCCCUCGUGGGAGCUGCUGGGCUGGGUGCGCCGUCCCUGCUAGAGCAGCCUCGCCAGGCCUCGGAUACAGAGUGUCCGCAGCCACUGGCGUGAACGUGGUUUUUCCAUUUCAGCGGAACAGGAGGAUCAGCAACAGUUCACGCACACAUGGAACGGACGAUAACAGCUAGCUACACUUUCUCCCCAGGGUCACUUAUCUCUCGCUUUCAGUCACAACAGAGAGAACUGGGCUGGGACGUCUCCUGCGGCACAGCGGGUUAGGAGCCCAGCAUCAUCACUGCCGCAGCUUAGCUCGCUGCUGUGGCACAGGUUCAGUCCCUGGCCUGGAACCUUCUACAUGCCUCACAGCCCCCCAAACAAACAAACCAACCCAAAGAGAUGUGAACCCUCUGAACAUCCCACAGAAUAUCCCCCAGACCAGUCACAGUGACUGUGUCAGAAAAACAAGAAGUGGCUAGUUUAUCAGAGACCUUAAGACACAUGUGCCCCCAGGAGGUGGGCAACGCACCCUAGGAAGGCUCAGGGACCUACCUGCCACCUCAGUGAAGGUUUUAGGCGUCCAGUGGUCAUGGCUGUGCCAGAAUGUCCCCUUCAAACGAAGACAGACCAAUGCCUCUUUCAUCCUCUCCCACAACGAAGGAAGCGCAGCACCUGGACGCCUCUCUGGACUCUGGAAGCCACACAUUCCGCACCAAGGAAUCCUUCUCACAAAGCGCCAGCUCCUCUUUGGCGCCUGCAGCAGAAGAGGGCUCAAUAAGAGGGGCAAGCUGCUAAACCAAGAGCCUGUCACUUGGGUCCUUGGGUCCAGCAGACUCUACAGUAUGGAUGUGACAGGGAUGCGUCACGGCUGUCAUCGGCAGCAGAGAAUUAAGACACCUUUGCAGAAACGGCUCCCAGCGCGUGACUGGGCCCUGGUUUAAAUGAAAUGCCAGAUGGUGAGAGCAUCAGGUUAAAUUCUUCGAGAACUCCUGCCAUGAACUGAGUUUGAGCCAUAAAGUCGAUGCGGUCUGUAGUCCUUCUCUGUUUUGUUUGUUUGUUUGUUCUUUUUAGGGUCAUGGCAGGUGGAGGUUCCCAGGCUGGGGGUCUAACUGGAGCGGUAGCCACCGGCCUACACCAAAGCCACAGCCACGCCAGAUCCGAGCUGCGUCUGCGACCUGCACCACAGCCCACGGCUGCACCGGAUCCUUAACCCACUGAGCGAGGCCAGGGACCGAACCCGCAUCGUCAUGGAUACUUGUCAGGCUCGUUACCACUGGGCCACACCAGGAACUCAGCGGUAGUCACUGGAAGAUGGAAACGGUGGCUGCAUGACAAUCACAUUCGGGGGGUGCCCUGAAAGGCAGCGGGGAGCGAGGGAGGAACCCGCAGGGGAGCUGCCCCGGUCACGGAGCAGCGCUGUGUGCAGAGGCGAGCAGCGCCCUCCUCGCCGGGGUCAGGAGACAGGAAGGAAAGGAUCUGGUUUCGGUAGACGCACGUGGGUGGACACGGGGGGGCCGGCAGGGUGAAGAUUUCAGUGUCACACAUCAGCACCCAGCACUGAAGAGAAGUGAACUAAGCAAAUCAAACCUGAGCCACCCUGGAACU
ensembl:lncRNA